CUACGUGCCAGCAGCCGCGGUAAUACGUAGGUGGCAAGCGUUGUCCGGAAUUAUUGGGCGUAAAGCGCGCGCAGGCGGAUUGGUCAGUCUGUCUUAAAAGUUCGGGGCUUAACCCCGUGAUGGGAUGGAAACUGCCAAUCUAGAGUAUCGGAGAGGAAAGUGGAAUUCCUAGUGUAGCGGUGAAAUGCGUAGAUAUUAGGAAGAACACCAGUGGCGAAGGCGACUUUCUGGACGAAAACUGACGCUGAGGCGCGAAAGCCAGGGGAGCGAACGGGAUUAGAUACCCCGGUAGUCCUGGCCGUAAACGAUGGGUACUAGGUGUAGGAGGUAUCGACCCCUUCUGUGCCGGAGUUAACGCAAUAAGUACCCCGCCUGGGGAGUACGACCGCAAGGUUGAAACUCAAAGGAAUUGACGGGGGCCCGCACAAGCGGUGGAGUAUGUGGUUUAAUUCGACGCAACGCGAAGAACCUUACCAGGUCUUGACAUUGAUGGACAGAACUAGAGAUAG
rnacentral:rRNA from 1 species